GCCAAGUGUCUUUCAAGCUGCCUUUAUCUGUCUCUACUUCUCUUCCCAGGAAGAGUUUUUUCAACAUCACAGGAAGCAGCAAAAGAGAUGAGAAUUCUCUCUUCUUCCUUGAAGUAGAACCACAGUUAACAGGUGGAUCCACAGUCCAGUAGAUCUCAGAGUGAAAAUAUUUUCAUCUAAGAAAAUACAUGGCUGUUCCAUUUAUGGGCAGUCCGAGAAAGCACAUGUGAUGGAUAUGGCUGGAUACUGAACCAUGGACUUGCCUGAGGAUCUCUGGCCUGUGAUUGACCCCGGUUGCCAUCACUGGACCUGCCCUGCUCUCCUUGCUCAGACAGGGUGGGACUGUGCCCCUGCUGGUGAGGACACUGCCCUCCCACCUCCCUGUCACCCUGGCUCCCAGCUCUCCUUCCCUGGGGAGCAGCCUGCUCUUGCUGCUCCCUAACAGACACCUCUCAGACUUCAAUUUGUCUGCAAAAUUAUGGCCUUCUUGUCAAAAAGAUAUCUUUGUUAUUUUCUGAAGGCUGCCCUGGGCAUCUGUGGUUUGCUGAAAACCUCAUUUGUUCCCAUCACUGAGGUAUUCUGGGGAGAUAAUUUCUGUACUACUGGAAGCACAUGCCUUCUUGUAAGUAAUGGCAGAUGGCUUACCAGGGAAAGUGAUGUUUUUAAGGUCAUUAAUCAUUCCAAAAGUUGAACAUGCAGAGGAAAUCCAAUUCACGAUAAUUUGCAUAGAUUCCUGGGAAUGAGCAAUCAGGCUAUCAUUGUCAGCAGACAGAUAAGACAGUCUUGUUCACAAAAAUUGCAUUUAACAGCUCUCCAUCAAGCCCUGAAUCUAAUCUGGAUACCUGAAGCAUGUAGGAACCAACUGAGAGUAUUGUGAAAAAAAUACAUACUAAGCAGUGUUAGUGAGAUGACACUGCUCAGUGCUAUGGGAGGAAGUGAAUUAAAAGCUCAAGAAAAUUCCAGUCCUCCCUUAAUUCCAUAAUGAAACAGUCUAGAACUCAGAAUGAAUUAUCUAAGCAGCCCACCCUAAAGUAAAGAUUCUGCUGACAGUGUCAAAUGUUACUGUCAGGUCAACAAAGAUGGAUCAGAAAUGAAAGACCUCUUUAUAUUUCUGUCCCAUGUGCUAGCUACAAAAUAUUAAGCUUGUCUUUAAUUUCACUCUCUGAAACAAAAUUUGCUGUCUAGCAAAAAUCUUUGUUACCUGGCUGAGUAAGGCAGUUAAAUACAGACCUUGCAAUAAUAGUGCCAAGAAUUUUUAAUCGGAGAAUUCUUCAGUCAGGGAAGUGUAUGAAAUGACUGUCUUUUCAUAAAGAUGGACAAAAAGACAAAGUUUAUAGUCUUGGGGUAUCCCUACUUUAUCUUGUGUAAGCAGAAGGAGCUUUCUAAGGAUUAAGAAGUCUCGAAGCCUCUGGACAUCUCAACUGAAAUGAGUAAGUACUUUGUCACCUGAAUUUCUGGGACAGUAAGGAACAGCUAGAGUGAGCUGAUGGGCUGUGAAGGCAGGUGUUCAGUAGCCUUGUAGAUGGUGGUGGAUUGUUUACUGAAUAAACAUUUUAAUGCUGACAUUUAGUUUAAAGAAUUCAGUUCUUUCCAGUCAGAAAGGUAAUCUAUCCAAAAUUCACACCAGGGGUGGAACUGCCAUUAGGAGAACCAUAUUGUAUUUUAAGAACACCAUUAGACUUUAUACCAUUUUGAUUGAAUUGUUAUCACAGCUCAUCUGUUUUCUUGCCAUCUAGGCACUAUGUGUAACUUCAAUUUAUGCUGAAGAUUAUAAAGAUUUUUCCUAGAUGUUGAUAGUCUAUAAGCUAUUUAAGAUUCAUAUACGCAAUAUUUUCCAUCAAGCAAUUUCCUGCAAACUGUCUCAUAGAAAUGGUCUUUAUAUUUCCAGGCCAUUGCAUCAAGAGUGUUCAAAACAUUUAUUUUGAAAACAUUUCUGAAGUGAUUAAACACUGCCAGAAGUUGUAGUGGUGAUAAUUGAGCUUGCAUUGCAAUGCUUUGCCAUUUAGAAAAUUUAUUGUAAUUUAGCUUUUUCAAAGGCUUUUUCCUGAGUUAUUGCAGAGAAAAGAUGAUAGGUAGAGAGGCAGAAUUUUGAGCAGAAAAGAGGAUGGUUUGCAUAACACUACAUUUAUCUUCUAAACUUGGUUUUGAUGCUUCUGCCUUACAGUGACUAAUUAUAUAUCAGUAUUUGGGUCUCAGGUGUAACCAAGAAUUAAUUAUUUCUUAUUUAAAUGAUGAGGUAUAGUCUUUAUAGCAAAUUAGUGUUCAGCAGCUUUCCUGAAAUAAUCAGUUAUUACCGUUUCUUCUUCUGUGUCCAUUCUUUUAAAUAAUAUUCUCUCAGGCAUUCUGGUCACCCCGAACACUGGAAGCAUCCAAAAUAGAUUUGCAUGCCAUCCUGAGUCCAAAGAAUUGUGUAUUGUAGUUGUGCAUACACUUUGUUUUGAUCUCAUUAGGUUUUCUCAUGACACUGAGAAGUCACUAGAGGUAAGAUUUUCAGACUAGCUAGGUUAUUGACAACAGUAGACCAAAGAGUAAACUGUGUAAUUUGUGGUGACAAUACAUAAAAAAGGUAUAGCUGACAGAGGUUGCUGUCAGCAAUCUCAUUGCUGCUUCAGGUGCCUAUAUGCAAUAUUUUUACAGUUAUAUUCCCUGCAUAUCAUCAACGUGUGCUUUACUGUAUAUCUGUUGUCACAGGAUACAGACAUAAUGAAUAAAGAAUAAAGAAGUUACUUUCCUGAUUGCAUUAGUAUUCAAUUAGCUUGCCAGAAUACUGCAGGAGUCAGUUUGCAUGUGAAUUUGAGACAACUGAAGUGGAAAUUUACCUGUAAGUUAAUGUUUAAGCUGAUGGAAUCUGGUGGAGUUCGAUAUGAAGUUGCCAGGCCCAAGGACUGUUCUCUUACAGCAGUUCAUGGGUAACCUGGACCAGGACAAUGCUGUAAAAGACCUGCUGGAUUAUAUUCAAUGGUGAGCAUGGACGAAGAAUGCUUAUUGUGGGAUGUACAUAGCUCUGUGCAACGAUGUCAAGACAGAAGCAAUUUCUAAUAUGAACAGAAGCAGAACUGGAUCAGUGUCAAAACGUUGGUGUUCAUGUGGACUUAUAACCUUCCAAAUCAGUCAGCAGCUGAAAAGAUGGCUUUAAAGAUUCCUUUUGUGGACAUAAACAUCAAAAGCAGGAAUUAGUGUGACUUCAGGGCUUAUUGUUUCUACAAAGCAAUCUUUUUCCCCUGUCUUUAGAGCUGGUAUAGCAAAACUCUCUUGAACCUCCCCAGCCAUAAACUAAAGUUUUGUUUACCAUCAACCAAGAUCAUUUGAGUAUUUUACCUCUUCUAAUGUGGAAGCUGAAACUAAAGGUAUUCAGUCUAGGAAACAAACAAACAAACCACCUUAUAAAAAAAUGACAUCAGAUCACAGAUUUAUUUUUUUUAGGUAUGAGACCCACAGCAAAGGUGUUUUUAUUGUACUUGUCAGUGUACAAUAGGAAAGCAUCUAUGGAAAGGCAAACCAUAAGCAGUAAGUUGUAGAAAUCUUUCAGGCUAUGCAGUCUGAAGGACCACAAAAGCAACUUGAAUGCUAUAUAACCUUUCUGUUUUCCAAGGUAUUGAACAUUUUGUAAAAGGGUGACUGCUCUUAAGGAAAAAGGAUUACAAAUCCAAUGAAGUGUUGUUACAAAAAUCCAUACAAUAUACUUGUGAAAGUGCACCUCAUUAUUGAGUAUGACAGAUAAUUCUUCAGUCAAAAAGGCACUGCUGUGGAGGCUGUGAAGAUAUAUGGAUUGCAUAGAUCAAAGGGAAAUUUUAUGUGAGAUGAAUCCUUCCACCAAAUACAGUCUCUGCUUUGCUCUUUCUCCUAUGAAAGGUUCUGCAACAAGGAGGUAUUGAUGCAAGUUAUUUGUGUGGGGAUGGUUUUAAAUGCUGAACUCUGUGCAUUAUGUGGAACAUUUACAUUCCCCUUGUCAUGAUUGUUGAAAACAACAGCUGUCUUGCUCUCUUCCUCAGCAAAUGGUUUAUUAGGUUGAGUUCAUUUGAAAAUACACAAUGUAUCUCCAUAUUUGAGAUGAAUCUAUGAAAGAAUAAGAAAAGUGAUGUAAGAGGAUAUUACAGACUAAGACAAAUGGAAACUAAAAAGUGUAUUGCUUAUUUUACAAAACAUAGUAAUAAUUCCACUGUUUUAGAUUUGGUUUUUUAUUAAUUAUUUUAAGACAUUAGGUUUGAACCAUAAACUACACUUUCUAUAAACUAGGCUGAAGUGCAAAUGCUCAAUUUUACUGAAGUUUGUCAACUAAAUAUUUUAAAGUGCACCCUAUUUAGUGCAGUAUAUUUAGGAAUUGAAAGAAUUAUACAGAAUUAAUGAAAUCCAUUAGCUAUAACUGAAUUAACUAUGGCUAUUGCAGUGGUAAAUAUAAUAUCAAAGACAAUUUUUGUUUGCUAUUGGAAAGAAAAUAUUGAGUUUCCUGUGAAACAGAACUCAUAAAACAGUAGUUCAAUAGAGCAUUUGGCCAGGAUCUCGCAUAAACAAAUAGAACUCUCUAAGACAAGUAAUGAAAUUAUGUUUUAUGAAUCUCCUGGAAUAAGCAGAAAUCAGACAAACAGAAGCUAAUCAAUCUAGAAAUGCUGUAAGUAGAUUUCUGCUGUUUCAAGGCUUUAGGUUUCUCUCAGAUUCCAGUGACAGGAAGAAGACUACUCUUUGCUGCUCUUUUCCAAAUCUAAUCUAUCAAUAUAUAAAUGACUGUGUAUUGUUUUCAUCCAUCAUUGUGCACUACAAAAUAACAGCAUUUAAACUAUAAAAUAGCACUCUGCAAAAACUUCUUACCUGGAAACUGAAACAAUUUCUUGAACUAUUUCUCCCGGAUGCCAGAUCAUAGAUUAACCAGACAAACAGUCAUGCUGUCUGCAGGUGGCUAAUUAUACAGCUCAUUCCCUGGUUUCUGGCAAUUGUAACUCACUCUGCAGUGCAAAAAUGCAGUUUAGUCUGGGGUGUUUCUGACUAUUAUGAGAACAUCUGAUUUGCUAUGAAUGAAUGUAAAAUUGGAGUGUAAAGUAUAUAUUAUAUAAAUAGAAAUAAUCUAAAAUACAAACUAUAUCAAAAUAUAGUAAACCUGACAUUUAUUUUCAUUUUGCCUGCAAAAACACUCUUAAGAGCCUU